rnacentral:rRNA from 1 species
CUGAGCAUUUUUGCGAAGGAAGGACGGAGGAAAAAAGGAGGAGCGCAUUAUUGGUUUUGCGUUGGGAAUAUAAAGUUCUGUUUACCUGGCAAAUCCGGUAAACUGAGUUAAAUCUCAAAGAGCGCAUAUUCCCAAAAGAUUAAGUUUUACUUAAUCAAUUUUUCCGAAGAGCCUUCCGAGAAAAAUUUCUAAGCGAUAAAAAUGUUCAGUCCGUACCGUAAACCGACACAGGUGGGUGAGGCGAGGAGCCUCAGGGGAACGGGUGAUUCCUCGUUAAGGAACUCGGCAAAAAAGCGGGCGUAACUUUGGAAUAAGCCCUCCGAGCACUCAAGUUUUUGAGUGCUCGGCGCAGCGAAAGUAUCCCUGGCGACUGUUUACCAAAAACACAGGUCCCUGCGAACCCGUAAGGGGAUGUAUAGGGGCUGAUGCCUGUCCGAUGCCAGAAGGUUAAGCUUGGCGGUCAAUUGAUUUUUAUCAGUUGGCUGACUGAGUUAAGCCCUGGUCAAUGACAGCCGUAACUAUAACGGUUCUAAGGUUAGGAAGCGCUAGCCUUAGUAAAAUUCGACUAUAUGCUGGAAAAUCUGGUGUAUCCAAGACUACUAUGGUAUAAUGUAACCAUAGAAUAUGGUUAAUAUUAUGCCAAGUAAAAAUGUCUUUGGUGCAGAUAAUCAGCAGGAAAGACUCAAAAUCGCUUAUUGGAUAGUAGGUUUUACUGAUGGAGAGGGGUGUUUUUCAAUUGCUGUUAUAAAGAACAAAACUACUAAAUUCGGGACACAAAUUUUUCCUGAAUUUGUAAUUACGCAAGGAGAAAAAAGUUUAGUUGCAUUAAAAAAAGUUAAAAAUUUUUUUGAUUGUGGAAAUAUUUUUGUUAACAGACGAUACGAUGAUCAUAACGAAAAUUUAUAUCGUUAUUGUGUGCGUUCUUUAUAUGAUUUAGAUAAGAAAAUAAUUCCGUUUUUUGAAGAACAUCAUCUCCAGACAUAUAAACGAAAUGAUUUUUUGAUUUUUAAGAAGGUUAUAAAAUUAAUGAUAAAGAAAGAACAUUUAACUGAAAAAGGAAGAAGAAAAGUACUUAUGUUUAUCAGUGGAAUGAAUCAUAAGAAGAAGAGAUUUUGAGAAUCCUCAGAGACCAUACGUCGAAUCGCAGCACUCAAUGAUUUGAGUGCUCGGAAGAUAUAGUCCGAACUCUAUGGCGACAUAGAGAGGUAAAUAAAUUUUGCCCUUCCAAAAUGGAAGUAACAUAAUUGAGCGCAAUUCCUUGUCAGGUAAGUUCUGACGUGCAUGAAAGGUAUAACGACUGGGGAACUGUCUCAACGAGGAGCCCGGUGAAAAUGCGUGUCCAGCGAAGACGCUGGGUACCCGCAGCUAGACGAAAAGACCCUAGGAGCUUUACUGUAGUUUGGUAUUGAUUUUAUUUGCAAGAUGCGUAGCGUAGUGGGGAGGCUUUGAAGCCCUGAUUUCGGUUGGGGUGGAGCCGCCAAUGAAACACCCAUCUUUUUGUGAAUAAAAUCUAACCUUAAAGGCAAAAACUUUAGGGGACAGUGCUUGAUGGGCAGUUUUUGUGGGGCGCAAUCCUCCUAAAAAGUAACGGAGGAAUCUAUUAAGGUUGGCUAUCCGCCAAUGGAAACGGCGGAGGUAGUGUAAAGGCAAAAGCCAGCUUUAUAGCAAGGAAGACAUUCCGCGCUAUUGCGAAAGCAGAGCUUAGUGACCCGAUGCGUCAUUGUAGAAGGCGCAAAGACACUGGACAAAAGUUACCCUAGGGAUAACAGGCUAGUGGAGCCCGAAAGUCCAAAUCGACGGCUCCGCUCGGCACCUCGAUGUCGGCUCAUCCUAUCCUGGCGCUGAAGAAGGUGCCAAGGGUUUGGCUGUUCGCCAAUUAAAAGGAUACGCGAGCUGGGUUCAGACCGUUGUGAAACAGGUCGGUCUCUAUCUGCUGUGGGCGUUCGAUACUUGAGGGGAGCUGGUCUUAGUACGAGAGGACUAGGCUGGACGAACCUCUGGUGUACCGGUUGUCCUACCAAGGGCAUUGCCGGGUAGCUAUGUUCGGAAGGGAUAAGCGCUGAAAGCAUCUAAGCGCGAAGCCCACCCCAAGAUUAGGUAUCGUGGCUUUAAAAAGCGAGAGAUACCUCAAAGACUAUGAGGUUGAUAGGCUCUAGGUGGAAGUGCUGUAAGGCAUUAAGCCGAGGAGUACUAAAUUAUCGAAGCCACUUUU